GUGAUCCCUCAUCCACACAACAGUCAUCCAAGGCUACUGAGUGUCCAGUCCAUGUUCCAUCAACGCAGCACGUUCCCUAUGCUUUUGUUUUGUAGGCAUGGACUCUGAACAGGUGGCCUGAAAACCAGGACACUUUACUGAGCCUGAGGAGAAGAGAAGCCCUGACAACUAACCAAUGCAUUUGGCCAGGUACACGUUCCUCAAAACAAAGUUGGUCUUUGGU